AUUUGUUAAAUAAAUUAUUUUUUUUGUUUAUUAUUUAUAUUAAUAUAAAAAUUAAUUGAUUGUUUUUGUAUAUAUUUUAGGUAUUAAUUAUUUAAUAUGAUAGUUUAUUGGUACUGUAUAGGUACAUUUAUUAACUUUUAAAAGUAGAUUAUUUAUUGUAUCUUGUGUAUCAGAGUUUAUUAAAUUUUAUUAUUUAUUUUUAUAUCUCGAUUUCAAAAGGGUUAAAUAAUUAUUUUAUUUAUUGUUUUAUAAAUAUUGGGAAUAUUUAUUUGGUGAUGAAAUGUUAUUCGAUUUUGAAGGUAUCUAGUUUUUCAAGAAAUGAAUUUAAUUCAUAUAUUAUUAUUUUGUAUUUCUAUUUUAAUAGUUUAUAUUAUGUUAAUAUAAAUAUUAGGGGGGAUAAGCUCUUUAUUAUAUUCUUAUAAUUUUUAUUUAUAUUUAUUUUUGUUGGUUUUAUAAUAACUAUCAAUUUGAGUUUGUUAAUAUUUUAUUAUUAGAUAUUUUUAUUUUUAUUUUAUUUAAGUAUUUUAUUGUAAAUUUUAUAGAAAAUUAAGUUUUGUUUUUAAUAAUGAUGAAAUUAGUAAUUAUUAAAUAUUUUAUUGUUUAAAAUUUAUUAUAAUUUUAAAAGGAAUUAGGCAAAAAACUUUUAUUCCCGCAUGUUUAUCAAAAACAUCGCUUCUUGUUUAUGUAUAUGAAGUAUAACCUGCCCACUGAUUUUAUUUAAAGGGCCGCGGUAUUUUGACCGUGCAAAGGUAGCAUAAUCAUUAGUCUUUUAAUUGAAGACUUGUAUGAAUGGAUUGACGAGGAAUAAUCUGUUUCUUAUUAUAUUAUUGAAUUUAAUUUUUAAGUUAAAAAGCUUAAAUUUUUUUGUGGGACGAGAAGACCCUAUAGAGUUUUAUAUAUUAUAUAUUGUAUUUGUUUGGUUUAAUUAUUUUUAAUUUUAUAGUAUAUUUUGUUGGGGUGAUAUAAAGAAUUAUUUAACUCUUUUUUAAUUUAUACAUUUAUUUAUGAAUAUGUGAUCCAUUUUUGUUGAUUAUAAGAUUAAAUUACCUUAGGGAUAACAGCGUAAUUCUUCUUGAAAGAUCUUAUUGAUGGAUGAGUUUGCGACCUCGAUGUUGGAUUAAGAUUUAAUUUGGGUGUAGAAGUUCAAUAUAUUAGGUCUGUUCGACCUUUAAAAUCUUACAUGAUCUGAGUUCAGACCGGCGUGAGCCAGGUUGGUUUCUAUCUAUAAUUAAUUUUAUAUCUUAGUACGAGAGGACCAGAUAUUUGAAAUAAUUUUUAUGUUAUGAUUAUUAUUAAUA
rnacentral:rRNA from 1 species